AUGGCCAUAUCACAUUGAACCAUUGGUUCCUGUACAAUCACCAAAGUUAAGCAAUAAUGAGCCUGGUCAGUAUUUAGAUAAGUGACUGCUUGGGAAUACCAGGUGCUGGAAG